AGCGACAUUCCGUCUCAAAAGAAAAAGAAAAAGAAAAGAAACUUCAUAAGGGAGAGGACACUUGGCUGUUUUUUUUGCUAACACACCUCCAGUGCCUAAAACAAUGCCUGACACAAAGCCAACAUUCAGUAAAUAUGUCUUGAAUGAAUGAACAGAUGACUUAAUGGAUGGUGAGGAAAUGGAUGGAUAAAUAUAUGGCACUUUCUCAGAAGAUGUAGUAGUUCAUUUUAUCUGUCAGGAGAGUAAAUGAUAGCAGAGCAAGGUCUGUCUCUGCUUAAGCAGAUAAAUUUUGAUAAGGAGCUGCUAUUCAUGUUGACCAACAGUCUUAAGCAGAAAGAAAUAGCUUCUGGAAAAAUAACUGUGCAACCCUUGUCAGAGUGGGCUCUGCCUUCCAUAGUUAUUCAGGAUCCCCUAGUGGAUGAAAGCCUGGUUAUCAGUCACACCAUCUGGAAUAUGUAAUUACUGUGGAAGAGGAAAAGACACACUACAGUGCAUCUUAAUUGCCUGGAAGCUGAAAGUGACAUAACUCAUUUCUGACCACAUCCCAUUGGCCAAUCCUAAUAGCAUGGCCCCAGCAUAACUGCAAGGGAAGCACAUGUAUUUGGUUAGCCCUCUGUACACAUGGUAAUUCUAAAAUUUAAUGUCCAAAAUUUUCCUUCUAUUCUACGUGAGCAAAUCCCCAAUUAUGUAAAUAAAAAACAAAAACCUCCAAACAAUGGGUCAUCUUUUGUUUCCCACAUUAUUUUGUAACUGAUAUUCAAUUCAUCAGAAAUUCUGUUAGCUUGAUAUAAAGAAUAUCCUGAAUUUGAUCACAUCUCACAACAUCUACUAAUACCAACCUCCUUCCUACUAGCUUUACAUACAUAGAAAAAUUCUUUUUUGUGUUAAAGUAAAUUUAAUUUAAAAUUACUUUUAAAUUAAAUGUUUUUAUGUAACAUGCAUGUCUGC
rnacentral:lncRNA from 1 species